rnacentral:rRNA from 1 species
UACCAGCACCCCGAGUGGUCGGGACGUUUUAUUGGGCCUAAAGCAUCCGUAGCCGGUUCUACAAGUCUUCCGUUAAAUCCACCUGCUUAACAGAUGGGCUGCGGAAGAUACUAUGGAGCUAGGAGGCGGGAGAGGCAAGCGGUACUCGAUGGGUAGGGGUAAAAUCCGUUGAUCCAUUGAAGACCACCAGUGGCGAAGGCGGCUUGCCAGAACGCGCUCGACGGUGAGGGAUGAAAGCUGGGGGAGCAAACCGG